rnacentral:sRNA from 1 species
AUCUAGCCCCGAUGGAAGGGAAAAUCCUUUUAUUUUUUUCCUUUAAAAAAAUAAAAGAUUUGGAAUGAACAGCGGGAACUAUG